rnacentral:snRNA from 1 species
AUUACACCAGAGAAGAUUAGCAUGGCUCCUGCACAAGGACGGCAGAAAAACUUGUGAAACACUCCACACUUUC